ACACACACACACACAGACAUAACUAUACCAAACAUUACAUCACAUUACAAAAAAUUUACUUAAGAACAAAUAAAUAAAACCCUUGAAUGACACACACACACACACACACACACACACACACAGACAUAACUAUACCAAACGUUACAUCACAUUACGAAAAAUUCAAUUAACAACAAAUAAAUCAAAUAAAAUCACCAAAAAUCGAGUCUGGCAGCUUACUUACGAGGGUGACAACGUAACAAUAACAACUUCAUGAACAGAGAGUUACAUCACACUACGAAAAAUUCAAUUAACAACAUAUGCAUAAAAUUAAAUCAACGAAAAUCGAGUCUGGAAGAUUAAUUACAAGGGUGACAAUGUGACAAUGACUGAACUUCAUGAACGGAGGGUUUAAUCUUGCCGGCCCGUCCCUGCUUCUAGGUAUUUCCCUAUCAAGCACCAACAUCCCUUCCCACGGCAAUCCCUCGCCUAAUCCCUCUUAUCAGCUCCCUCCUCCUUGGUACCUUAAACUCUUUUCUUUAAUCACAGCUCUUCUUUGUAUCCUUAACCUUUUUCCUCUCCGCUGUUAUCCAUUAAAAGGAAUCUAAACUAACAUAGAGGAUAGUCAGUUUCAUUCAUUACAGAAGCGGACUCGUGGAAAGUAAAACUAUGAUAUUAAUAGAAGGAAAUGAUGUGAGAUGUAACGUAAUGAAAUUGGAUACGAAUGCGAAGAAUAAUAGUUUUAAUUCACGAAACUAAACUUGUCGGAGAUAAAAUGAUGAUGAUAAGUUGUAAUGAUAAUGAAAUAUAUGCUGAGGUUAUUGAUGAGAUCUAAUAUUGAUGACUGUUGAUGAGGUUUCAGGCCCUGCUCCGCCACUGAUGCAGCGCUCUCGAGGGCCGUCAACAAUUAAAACGUUAGCCUCAACAAUAAUAAGGAAAUAAAUGCUGAGGUUAUUGAUAAGAUGUAAUGAAAAUAAAAUAAAUGCUGAGGUUAUUAAUAAGAUGUAAUAAAAAUGAAAUAAAUGCUGAGGUUAUUGA